GGAGGAAUAGUUCAGUGGUAGGACAUGUACUUAGGAUGCACAAGGCUCUGGAUUCCAUCCCCAGGCCCCCA
rnacentral:tRNA from 1 species